GACGAACGCUGGCGGCGUGCUUAACACAUGCAAGUCGAGCGGUAAGGCCCCUUCGGGGGUACACGAGCGGCGAACGGGUGAGUAACACGUGAGCAAUCUGCCCUUCACUUUGGGAUAACUCUGGGAAACGAGAGCUAAUACCGAAUACGACCACUUCAGGCAUCUGAUGGUGGUGGAAAGUUCCGGCGGUGAAGGAUGAGCUCGCGGCCUAUCAGCUAGUUGGUGGAGUAACGGCCCACCAAGGCUUCGACGGGUAGCCGGCCUGAGAGGGUGACCGGCCACACUGGGACUGAGACACGGCCCAGACUCCUACGGGAGGCAGCAGUGGGGAAUAUUGGGCAAUGGGGGGAACCCUGACCCAGCAACGCCGCGUGAGUGAAGAAGGUCUUCGGAUCGUAAAGCUCUGUCAUUAGGGAAGAAGGAAGUGACGGUACCUAAUGAGGAAGCCCCGGCUAACUACGUG
rnacentral:rRNA from 1 species